AUUAAGCCGAUGGAUAAAUUCAGCCAAGUUCCAGGAGAUACAUACAAUAAUCACGCUAUACGCUAGCAAUAAUCUGAAAGUGAAGUAAACAAUUGCAUUUAUGAUAUCAGCAGAAAGGUUAAAUGACUUAGGAAUAAAUGUAAUCAAGGUUGUGCAAGUCUUUUAUAUUGAAUAUUACUAAAUAUUGCUGAAAUUAUAUAAAGGAGACCUAACUGAGCAUAUAGAUAUCCCAUGUUCAUGGAAUGGAAGACUUGAUCUUCUUGGAACUACGCAAAUUGAUCUGUAGAUUCAAUGCUAUUCUUAUCAGAAUCUCAAAUGACAUUUUUUUUUCUCCAAAAGUGAAAAAUUCAAUCCUAAAAUUUGCAUGAAAUUGAAAGGAUCUUCAAAUUGGGGUGGUGUUGGGGGAAAUGGUGAGCUUGGAGAAAUUACAUUUCUUAACUUCAAAAACGUUUAACACCUAUAAAAAUACAGUAACCAAAAUGUGGCACUGGAAUAAACAUGCACCUGUAUAUCAGUAGUAUACAAUUGAAAAUUCAGAAACAACCCUAUAUAUCUGUGGUUAAUUGAUCUUCAACAUGGAUGCCAAGGCCAUUUAAAAGGAAAGCAUGGUAUUGUC
rnacentral:lncRNA from 1 species